UUCGAUUAACAGACAUAUACAAGACAGACACACUCUUUUCUCUCUCUUUCUUCUCUUUCUCUCUCUCUCUUUUCUCUCUCUCUCCCCCUGAAACCCUGAACAUCUAUCGACGGCGACGACCAACAACGACCGAUGAUCUAUGCCUAAAGUCGAUCGGCAAUCUUCUUUUCUAUUCUUCUCAAUUUUUAUUUUUUUUAUUUUUUAUUUUUUUACGCCCUUUUCUUCAACUAAAACCUUAAUCGUAACCCAUUCUUCGGCUGAAAGAGGAUCGGCGAUCGUUGUGGUGUUCUAAUGGUGUCAUUGAUGUAAUCUUGAACUGGGUUUGGGUUUUCCUCUCUCUCUCUCUCUCUCUCUCUGUGUGUGUGUCUAUCAGCUUCAUACGAAUAUCCAUGUCAAUCUACUGCUUAUACCAAGCAUUUUGCUCUCUUUCUGUUUGAGUGAUGGGAAUAUGUCGGAAUUGGACAAGUACUUGGGUGAUAUUAAGAAAGGUGGGAAGAAUGCUCAAUUUGACAUCUUGGACUGGCGGAAGGUUAAUGCAACAAAAUAUAGAGUAUUAUCACUUAUAGCACGAGAUGUGUUGGCAAUGUCUAUUUCCACUAUUGCCUCUGAGUCAGCUUUUAGUAUAUGAGGUCAUAUCCUUGAUCCAUUUCGUUGUUCACUUGCUCCCAAGAUGGUGGAGGUUCUUGUUUGUACACAAAAUUGGCUUCGAAGUAAUAUUCCAAUAUGCCUUCGACAAGCAAUGGAGGAUGUUGAAGAAUUUGAACAAUAAUAUGAUUCAGUUGUUUCGGAAUCAAGUUCAUGUUCAAGCCCAAGUCCGGAGAGUAAUUUUAUUCAAGUUUAAUAUUAUUGGCAAAAUACUAUCCCUUUGUUAAAUGUUAUUAACAUACAAGGAUGGAUCUAGAGGGGGGCGAAGGGGGGCGGCCGCAGCCCCAAAAAUUUGAAAAAUAUUAUAUAUUAUACUAGAAAUUUUAAAAUAAUUUAAAAUUAUAGGAGUUUGCACCCCUAAAUUUUUUUUUAAAUAAUUUCAAAAUUAUAUAGAGUAGCCUCCCCAAUUUUUAAAACUAUUUGGAAUUUUUUUUUUUGAAUUAGUUAACAUAUAUAAUAAUCUAUUUUAAAUUUCAUGUAUAUGUAUUUUGUAAAUUAGGUCAAGAUGAAAGCAAAAUUUUAGAAACUUUAAUGGGUGAAAGUGUAAAAUAUGAAACUUUUACAAAUAUAUAAACUAUAAGGCUUGUUGGAGAAGCUUGUUCAAACAAAGCACUAAGAUUAAAAAAAGAAAAGAAAACAACUAAUCUGAGAGACUUGUUGCGAUUCGAAAGAGAGGAGAGGAGCGAAAAGACGAGGAAAGAAACGGAGAAGCUUUGUUGUCGGACUUCGUCAGAGCUGGUCGGUGUAGACGGUGGAACCGUGGACUCUCACUAGUAAGUUAUCUGAUAUCCCUCCAGCUUCAAUGUGAUUAUUUUGUUUUUAGACUGAAUAUUUUGAUUGAUUGUGAUUUUAGACUGAAUAAUGCGAUUAUUUUGCCAUUAAUUUGUUAUUGGUUGUUAUCGGUCGCUGUAGACGUCCCUGAACGCCCCGGGAGGGUGAGUCCCGUUCUGUUCGUAUUGGGGUUCACUAUAGUUCGGACUCACAAAUUGUCACGGUUCUAAAUCUGAACCAAGGAGUCCAAAUUCGGCAAAUCGUGACGGAGAUAUUCUCAUUUGAAAUCGGGCCCAAAAAGUAGAUUUGUGCUUGUCAGCCAGAAAAGUGGCCGGUCGGCCAGUUGGGGUGGCUGGUCAGCUACUACAAGUGGCCGGUCGGCCACUUAUGUCCAAAACUCAAAUAUUUUGCAGAUCUUUUCCCUCCAGCUUUUCUACACAACCUCCAGCUAUCUGAUUUGUAGAUAUUUCGACCAGGGCUCUAUUUUUG